GAGUAUUGCUUACAGUGAACAAAAUAUCCAUCUCACUGCUCCUGCUCCUCUCACUGGGCCCUUGCUCUUACUCUUCCUCGUCCAUACAUUACAGUGUUUGUCUUUUUCUGUUUCCAAAAAUAUUACUCUUCAAAGUCCUCCUUUUACUGUAUUGUAUAAGUGUCAAUGUAAUAGAAAAAAAAUAACCCCUGCAAUUGAGUCUAAGCCAGAUUGGAAUCAGCUGUGGUUGGCCCAAUUUACACAACAUAAAUCAGCUAAGAUAAAUUGUUUUUGAACUGAUAUCAUUGCAGAAGCAGAGGUUUUUAUACUGUAUCUAAGGUUUGGAACAUUGUUUUUGCUAUUGUGGGAUGUUGUGUGUUAACAUUUGUAAAUACUACAAAAACGAUCCAUAAUUUUGUUGGGAGGUAUAGCUUGUCUGUUCAGAAAAUGUAAGCAUUGUGGAAAUGUGUUCAAUGACUCCAUAUUGUGUAAAAACAACAUGAAAUGUGUGAAUGGUAUGGCCACAAUAGACAGAUGCUGUGCUAAUUGUGUUUAGAGUUUUGAAAAUAUGACAACUGCUUGGACAAAUGCUUGUUAGCGACUGAAAACAACUGUAAUAGAAAAUAAGAUGUCUGUUCAAGAGAUCUAGGUUGCUCAUUUAGACAGUUGUGAGCUCUUGUUUACAGCAGACCUGCACAUUUUGAAUAUUCAUAUUUGUAAUCCUCUUAAAAGCUUUAUGAUGUGGUGUUAUUUCAGAAAAUUAAGUACAAGUUGGGUACAUUUUUUUUACAAACCAGUGCACUUACUGGUUUGAAAAUCUUAAGAAUGAUUCAAGAAAUUAUAUAUCUAUGUAUCUCUCUCUCUCUCUCUCUCUAUAUAUAUAUAGAGAGAGAGAGAGAGAGAGAGAGAGAGAGAGAGCAGUUAUAGUCAUACAAAAGAACAAAAGUGUUUAAAAGAAUCAUGAAUUAAGCUGGCACGUUUAAAUGUUUGUUUACAGAUUUAUUAGUUCUUACUUUGAUUUUCAACUAUAGCCCUAUAGCCCUAGCCCUAGCUGAGAUCUGCUUCUGCUGCUCAUACUGUGAUCAGCCGCCCUUCCCCCACAGCACUCUCUGAUCGCGCGCGCGCCCUUCCCCCACAGCACUGUCUCUGACUGACUCGCUGCAGAUGAGAUGAAUGAAUGAACUAACAAAAGUCUUGUGAGCUCUAGUUUACAGCAGACCUGCACGUUUUGAAUAUUCUUAUUUGUAAUUCUCUUAAAAACUUUAUGAUGUGGUGUUAUUUUAUAAAAAUAAGUGCACACCGGGUACUUUUUGCUCUUUUAAACCAGUGCUUGUACGGACAUGCGCACUGGUUCCUAGUUUGAGGUGGGUGCUCGGUUAAAAAGUGAUCAUGUGCUCUGUCCACUAGAAAGACUAACUUCAUCACAUUUUUUUUUUAAGUUUGAAGAAACAGUACUGUGGUCAAAACAAAUAUCAUUGCCACCAGAUAAUUUUCUAUUAGGCCAAAUAAAUGUAGUCACAAUUUCAACGUGAAAUCCAAAUACGUAACUACGUCAUUUACGCAAGUCAGCGACGGUGGUGUUUUCCCGGGAAAUGCAGACACGUGACGAUGGAACGCGCGAAACAGACGACAAACAACCCACCAGGAGGAAAGAAAAACACAACACCGGUUUGGAUAUGAGGUCAUUUCAAGAAAGAAAGUCGCCAUGCUGGGAAAUAAAAGACGUAGGAAACCUCUGCAGGAUGCUGAGCAUCACAUUACCUGUAAAACUGACAAGCCUGGGCUUCGAGAGCAGUUCAUCAGCAAAUAUAAAGGCAAGUAUAAAUGACUAAGCAGUUUAGUAACUAAUAACUAGGGCUGGG